rnacentral:tRNA from 1 species
GGAGAGAUGGUUGAGUUGGUCGAAGGCGCUCGACUCGAAAUCGAGUAGGGUCCGAAAGGGCUCUCGUGGGUUCGAAUCCCACUCUCUCCGCCA